UGACCAUGUGGUUUGUAUAGUUCUGAAAUGCUGUCAGUUGCACCGAUCCAAGGGUGAGGCGACCCUCUCAGUGUCCGUUGGCUGCCUAGGUGACCUCAAGGCUCCAUUCACCCAUAGAUUUUUGCUGUCAUCAUUUGCUGGGACAGUUGUCUGUGUUUUUCUGUUCUCCUUCCUCUGUGACGGUACCAAAUGGGCUGUCAUAGUCUCCAUGUGCAUCAUGGUCUACGUCCACUACUACGCCUCUUUCACUUGCAGACAUUGUAUUUAAUUUCUCUUUGUUCUUUGACUUAUUCAUGUAUUUUUAUUUACGUUGUUUAUCUCCAAGUAUUUUGAGCCUUUCCAGCCGUCUUCACAUCACUGUGCUAUGAGAGCAGUUCCUGCAUGAUUUCCAUUCUUUUCAAUUUUCCCAGUUUUGUUUGACGUCCCAAUAUGUGGUCUAUGUUAGUGAGUGUUUGGUUGGAGUGUGAUGAGGCUUGUAGUCUGUUGUCGGAUGAAGUUGUCUGUAGAUUCUAUGUCACGUAGAUUGAUGAUGUUGCUAAGUUAAAUUAUUGCCUUAGCCAAUUUCUGCCUGCUGGUUCUGUCCGAGUCUGAUAGGAAGGAGUGGCGUCUCCAGCUGUGAUAACAGAGUCCUCUGUGUCUGCUUGCAGUCUGAUCAGUUCUUGCCUUAUUUUGAUGCGGUGUUGUGAAGAGCGCACAUGCUGAAGGCUGCUGUAUCUUCUUGAAGAAUUGACUUUUCAGUCUUUAUACAGUGCCUCUCUUUUUCCCUGGUAAUUUUCCUUAUUAGGAAAUCCGCUGUGUCAGAAAAUAAUAUGGCUAUUUGCUUUCUUUUGAGGCAUGUUAAUGUGGUUUUUUUUCUCCAUCUAUUUACUGUAAAUCUAUAUAUUGAAAGUGGGCUUCCUGUAGACAACGUAUGGUUAGCUUUUUCUGAAUCCACUGUGGCAGUUUCUGUCUUUUGAUCAUGGAAUAUAGCCAACGCCAUUUUAAAAUAUGUAUAUAUGUCCUAAUAGUUGGAUAAAUCUAUUCCAUAUUAUUGCUUUCUGUUUAUUGUUUUUAUUCUGUGUUCUGCUUCUGUCUUCUGUCCAUUUUUUUCUGACUUGUGAUUUUUAGUGAGCAUUUUAUAUAUUCCAAUUUCAUUCCUUAAUAAAUCUGCCACACUUCAGUGUAAACUUUUUUAUUAUUUUAUGGAUUGUCUUAGCAUUCCAAGAUAUGUUUACAGGGGACUCAAGAUUACUUUUGGAUAAAGUUGUACUACUUCUUGAGUAGUGUAAAUGCCUUAUAACAUCAAAACAACAAAGCAGUUUUAAUUUCUUCCUCCUAUUCCUUUCGUUACUGUUGUAAUUCAUCUAAUUUAUUCAUAUAUGAGAGUAUAUAGACACAUAAGGAUACAUGUAGGCAUAUAUUUUCAUACAUAUGCUUUAUGAAUAUACAUUCACAUGAAGAUACUUCAAAAAGUUUGUGUAAAAUGGAAGUAAAAGAUAAGGUUAUUAUUUUGCAAAAUUCUGUGCAUACAAGGCAUCUUUCAGAAAUACAAGACAAAUUUAUAAUAAAGAUACUA